AAUCUCCAUGUGCCGUGGGUGAGGCCCUAAAAAGCAAAAAAAAAGAUUCAGCCUCAGGUCUGCCUUUUUGUUCACAGCUCAUGCUUUCUCUGCAGCUCCAGCCUGCCUCCAGGAGGGAAGAAGUGGGGUGUCCCGGAAGGAAAUAGAGCUUGUUCUCAUUCUUUCGGUCCCAGGAAUUCUGAACUGGGAGGCUGGCAAAUGACAGAACUGUAGCUCAUGCCGGCAGUGACUAUCUAGAGGCCCUACAGUAAGUGAAGAACCUCAUCUGGGGUUACUCACGGGUGCCUCACCCUGGUCCCACCCAGAGGGGAACUUGCCGGCCACACCUGCUGCAGCUGCACCCUCCCAGGCUGCCCUCAGAACCCAGCGGAGAACCAGGCCUGGGUAAGCAUCCCCCUUCCUCAGACACUGUGAGGUGGGGGCAGUGUGGAGUGGGUGGAGUGGACACAGGGGGUCAACAGGGGAGAUGAGGCCACCGAGAAGGUGACAUCACUCAAAGGUGACAUCACUCACUGGGCCUGGAAUGUCAUUCAUCAGGGAAAAGGCAACUAACUCCCAGUAGAAACAGGGCCUGGGUGGCCCAGUGGGGCUUUGUGAGGGGGGCUCCCGAGGGUUCAGAGGCAGGACACAGGGCAGCCAAUGCUCGGAAAUAGGCUGAGAAGUAGGAACCUAAGCCAGAUGUCACCAAAUAGCUCCAUUAUUGGUUGUCAGAUAACAUCUGAGUCUCCAGAAAAUAUGUUAGCUUUCUAGUAAUAGUUCAGUUGACUUUUAUUAUGGCCUGAUUGUUCAUGUCCCCCUAAAAUUCAUAUGUUAAAACCGAACUCCCCAAUGUAAUGGUGUCAGCAUGCGGGGCUUUGGAGGUAACCAGGACCAGACGAGGCCAUGAGCUGCAGCCCCCGUGGAUGGGAUCAGUGUCCUUAGGAGAGUCACAAGAGCUUGAUUCCCUCUCUGCAUUCCUCCAUGUGGACACAGAAGGGGGUCCUCACCAGAACCCAACCCAGCUGGACCUUGGACUUCAGCCUCCAGAACAGUGAGAAAUAGAUUUCUGUUGUUUAACAGCCCCCUGUUCUACAGUACUUUAUUAUAGCAGCUGGAACAAAGACAACUACUGACAUCUUUGUCAUCAGAAAACAUCUUAAGAGCCAGUUCCCUUCUGGGCUGCGACUUACACCACAGCUCACAGCAACGCCAGAUCCCUGGCCCCCUGAGUGAGGCCAGGGAUCAAACCCACAUCCUCAUGGAUCUUGGUCGGGGGUGUUAACUGCUGAGCCACAACAAGAACUCCCCAGAAACAUUUAGAAAAGAUUUUCAGAAAAAUUAAGGUAAUGGAUAGACAGAAUUUUUGCAAUAUGACGUUUUCUUCGAUUACUUUUUCAUGAAUUUGGUGCCUCCUAUGACACUCCUAUUUAUAGCGAUCAAGUAUACAACAGUGACAGGAAUAGCUGUUUCAGCUUUUUCUUAAACAUAGUUUUGUGGAUGUGAUUUUAUACUAUUAACCUAAAGUUGUCAUUUUCUUUUAGAAAAAAAAACACUGCUAACUUGUUUGUUGGAAUUAGAUCCAAUAUUUCAUGUUUUUCUGAAAAAAAUGCUUAAUAUUCUGAGAACAGAAGCACUGUUUGCAUUGAUUAGCUGCUUGAACAAAGUUUAGGACUUCUCUGUUGCCAUUAAAGCUAAAUAAUAGAAACAGGGUACUGCUUCCCCAAAGAUAACUAAUAUGCAAAAUCAUCUCUAAGAUAAUUAUAUUAACACCUUUUAAAAUAAAAAUCAA